AACUUUCAACAACGGAUCUCUUGGUUCUGGCAUCGAUGAAGAACGCAGCGAAAUGCGAUAAGUAAUGUGAAUUGCAGAAUUCAGUGAAUCAUCGAAUCUUUGAACGCACAUUGCGCCCCUUGGUAUUCCGAGGGGCAUGCCUGUCCGAGCGUCAUUA
rnacentral:rRNA from 2 species